CCGGAACAGUGGCGAACGGGUGAGUAACACGUGGGCAAUCUGCCCCUAACUCUGGGAUAACUACUCGAAAGAGUAGCUAAUACCGGAUACGAAAUCUGAGGACAUCCUCGGAUUUGGAAAGUUUUUCGGUUAGGGAUGAGCCCGCGGCCUAUCAGCUAGUUGGUGAGGUAGUGGCUCACCAAGGCGACGACGGGUAGCCGGCCUGAGAGGGCGACCGGCCACACUGGGACUGAGACACGGCCCAGACUCC
rnacentral:rRNA from 1 species